UCGGGCCUGCCCCCUGACAACUGUAUUAAAGGGCCGCGGUAUUUUGACCGUGCAAAGGUAGCAUACGGUAUUUUGACCGUGCAAAGGUAGCAUAAUCAUUAGUCUUUUAAUUGAAGGCUGGUAUGAAUGGUUUGACGAAAUAUAAGCUGUCUCUGUAUAAUAUUAUAUAAUUUAACUUUUGGGUUAAAAGGCCUAAAUAUUUAUAAAAGACGAGAAGACCCUAUAGAGCUUUAUAUUUAAUUAUAUCUAAUAUUGUUUAGUAGUAAUGUUUAUAGAUAUAAAUUAUAUAUUUUGUUGGGGUGACAUAAAGAUAUAAUUAACUCUUUACUAUUAAGUACAUUAAUUUAUGAAUAUAUGAUCCAUUAUUAGUGAUUAUAAGAUAAAGUUACCUUAGGGAUAACAGCGUAAUUUUUUUUGAGAGUUCUUAUCGACAAGAAAGAUUGCGACCUCGAUGUUGGAUUAAGGAAUAUGACUAGGUGUAGAAGUUUAGUUUUAUAAGUCUGUUCGACUUUUAAAUCCUUACAUGAUCUGAGUUCAGACCGGCGUAAGCCAGGUCGGUUUCUAUCUUUAUAUACAUAUAAUAAAUACUUUAGUACGAAAGGACCAAGUAUUUGAAAAAUUUUUUUUAGUAAAUGAUUAUUAUUAA
rnacentral:rRNA from 1 species